rnacentral:rRNA from 1 species
AACGAACGCUGGCGGCAUGCCUAACACAUGCAAGUCGAACGAGACCUUCGGGUCUAGUGGCGCACGGGUGCGUAACGCGUGGGAACCUGCCCUUAGGUUCGGAAUAACUCCCCGAAAGGGGUGCUAAUACCGGAUAAUGUCUUCGGACCAAAGAUUUAUCGCCUUUGGAUGGGCCCGCGUUGGAUUAGCUAGUUGGUAGUGUAAAAGCCUACCAAGGCGACGAUCCAUAGCUGGUCUGAUAGGAUGCUCAGCCACACUGGGACUGAGACACGGCCCAGACUCGUACGGGAGGCAGCAGUGGGGAAUAUUGGACAAUGGGCGAAAGCCUGAUCCAGCAAUGCCGCGUGAGAGAUGAAGGCCUUAGGGUUGUAAAGCUCUUUUACCCGGGAUGAUAAUGACAGUACCGGGAGAAUAAGCUCCGGCUAACUCCGUG